rnacentral:lncRNA from 1 species
GAUAUGUGGGCAUGUAUGUGCUUAUGGCAGGAGAGUGAUCCCGAGGUUUUCUAAAGUCAAGUUACAAAAGUGAUCCACCAAAGGAAAAAAGUCAGUUAUAAACAUCAGCAAGAUCAAAUUUUAGAUGUGUCUGUGUUAUCAGUCACUCAUUCGUGACCGACUCUUUUGUGACCCCAUGGACUGUAGCCAGUCAGGGUCUUCUGUACAUGGGAUUUCCUAGGCAAGAAUACUGGAGUUGGUUGCCAUUUCCUCCUCCAGGGGUCUUCCGGACCCAGGAUCGAACUCACAUCACCUGUGUUUCCUGCAUUGGGAGGUGGAUUCUUGACCUGUUAAUUAAGAGUUGUCCUGGUAACCUGUCUUCUCUCCUGACCCUUCAGAACAGGCUCCUGAAUGGGGAUGGAGAAUCCUCUGAGCAUCCUGGCAUUGUUUCUUGCUCCUGAUGGAGUUCCACUAGAUACUUGCCAACAUCACUUAUUUUAAGAACUCACCCAUUUUCAGUGAUUGCUUGCAUUUGUAAAGAAGAGGUUCACGAAGACUUUCUCAAUAUUCUGGCUGUGGUAAAAAAAAACAAGCAAACGAAAGAAAACUGACUCUGACUAUAAACUAGUAGAAGAUUCACCCUCUAUGAAUAAUCUCUUUAAUAAGAUUUCUUCAUGGAGCUGGCAUGGUGACUAAUAUGAACAGAUUCCACAGAUUUAUCUAUACACUUAUAGGAAUACAAGGGAAAUAAGUGAGAGGGACUUUUUUUUUUUUUUUUCCUGAAGAUAUUCUUUAUCUAGUCUGUUACCAACAAGCAAAGGAGAAAAUUAGAUUGACUCAUGAUCACUGUGGAAGCUCCAAACAAAACAAACAAAAACCAAAGCAACUAUAAUGUGUCACAGAGAGUAAUUUAUAGGUGAUGGGAAAAUUUUUCUUUUUAACCAAGAUGGAAAAACUGUUAAAAAAUAUUAUUUUAUAUAAUUAUAGAAGAAAAUGCAUAUAGGGUAUACAGAGAAACAGAUUUCAACUUAGUAUUAACUGAAGAUUUUUUAAUAGGAUUGCUC